rnacentral:lncRNA from 1 species
CACCACAUGGACAUCUUUUGGCCGAGGAAGUUAUGGAGGACUCGCCUAAGAAAAAGGGAGAGAAGCCACCACCGAAGCACAAGCCACCACAUGGACAUCUUUUGGCCGAGGAAGAGGUCGAGGACUCACACAAAGGGAAGGGAGAGAAGCCACCACCAAAGCACAAGCCACCACAUGGACAUCUUUUGGCCGAGGAAGAAGUUGAGGACUCACACAAGGGAAAGGGAGAGAAGCCACCACCAAAACACAAGCCUCCGCAUGGACAUCUUUUAGCUGAAGAAAAAGUUGAGGACUCACACAAGGGAAAAGGAGAGAAGCCACCACCAAAACACAAGCCCCCGAAUGGACAUCUUUUAGCUGAAGAAGAAGUUGAUGACUCACACAAAGGAAAGGGAGAGAAGCCACCACCAAAGCACAAGCCACCACAUGGACAUCUUUUGGCCGAGGAAGAGGUCGAGGACUCAUACAAAGGAAAGGGAGAGAAACCACCACCAAAACACAAACCUCCACAUGGACAUCUUUUAGCCGAGGAAGAAGUUGAGGACUCACACAAGGGAAAGGGAGAGAAACCACCACCAAAACACAAGCCCCCACAUGGACAUCUUUUAGCCGAGGAAGAAGUUGAUGACUCGCACAAGGGAAAGGGAGAAAAGCCACCACCAAAACACAAGCCACCUCACGGGCACUUAUUAGUUGAAGAGGUUGAAGACUCACACAAGGGGAAAGGAGAAAAACCACCGCCAAAGCACAAACCACCUCAUGGACACCUUUUAGCUGAAGAGGCCAACGACUCUCACAAAGGAAAGGGAGAGAAGCCACCAUGCAAGUCUCCUCACAAACCCCCAUCAGCCAACUAAGUGCCUUACGCUAAUUUCGCUAGAUGCUUAAAAAUAAGAAACAGAAGUAGUUUACUCUUCUGUUGGUUUCUGUAUCUGCAUUUUUCACUGAAUUAGUAUUUGUACUUUGGCUUGUAUUAUAUGAGUACUACCCUCUAGUUGGCUGUUUUAUGUAGAUUAUGGUUUUAUGUUCUAGUGCUGCGCGUAUUAUUUCAGUUGACUUAACUUUUAUUUGCAAAAUAUACAGCAAGACAUGCACACAAUCCUAGUACGUAGUUUUGCCACAUGCAUAUAUUUGGUGGUAGGAUAUUGUCAACGACAACAACGUUUAAUUACUUUAACUUAAACACGUGCUGAUGAUUUUUUUUUUUGUAAAAGCCCUUUAUUAGUAAACUAGUAUUACUCUGACAUCAACAGAUAUACCAUAGGUUUUGUCUAAAACUUGAAGGUUUCUGUAGUUUAAUUUGGUAAGUAAAAUUUUUUGUGUGUAGCACAUAAUGAAUAUGUUACUUACAUGUGUAGAUUUAUAUUUUACAUUUUAUUUUAAUAUUAGAUAAUUAAUAUAUAUAUAUUUAAUUAUUUAAAUUUAUAUAUAUUACUAAUUUAUUAAUUUAGUCUAUAUAUAUAUAUGAUAUACAUUUAAGUUAAAUUAGGUAAGAAGUUAUUAAGUACUUCCAAAUUAAUAUGAAAUAAUUCUCUAAAGGAAAUGAAUCAACUCUUGGAAAAUGUCGGGAGAAAAGAUUUCAAAUUUCUGCAUGUCUCUGUUUCUGCUCAGUGGAUGUCUCUGUUUCUGCUUGCUGCCUAUGUUGCAAUAUUUAUUUGGCUUUUUAUUCCUGGUAAAUUUCUUAUUUUCCUCUUAAUUUUGACUAGGCCGGCUGAUUCGGGAGUAAGAUUUAAGUAGUUUUAUAUUUAAUGAAAAGUAGAAUUCUGAAGAAGCGAAAAUAAAUAUAAAAAGGGAUAAUUGGUGUUCUGAGUGAAUCAUUAUUAAACACAAAAUUAGUAUUACAAACAAAAUUGCAAUUAUCAAAAUGACAGUAUGCUCCACAGAUAGAUGAUUAUCUAAUCAGUACUUAUAAUUAGCCUAAAUUUAAUAGGAAUAGUACAGAAUUAAACUUUCUUUUUUAAAAAAAGGGUCAUUAAACUGAAUCAUAAGAACAGGAUAGAGAGUAUUUGUAAUCAAAGAAACAUAGAGAGAAUUCAAAGUAAUGCCCCCAGAUGAUAGCCCUGAACAAUAAAUAUUACUUAGAAAAACAAACUGCCAAGAGAAAUUAGUCAAUAAAAUUUAGAUUGAAUCACGAUAUUUAUAAACGAGUAGAUAAAUAUAUCUUUUUUAUUAAAAAAUAAUAUUGCAUAAUUCAUCUUAAUUUAUUUCAACUUUUACUCAUAAAAUGUGAUAUAUAAUAUAUUUAUAAAAUUAUUAAUAUUUUGAUAUUACUCUCUUAAUUAAUAAAUAAUUCCAUAAAAACAUCAUACACCAUAUUAUAUAAACAAUAGUUGGGACAAAUCAAAAUGAAAUGUUUAGCAUUUUUCUAGUUAAAACCUAUUCUACAAUUCAAACCAAAAAUAGCAGUCCAAGAAAGCAUAUCUUUCACUAAUAAUCCAAACAAAUCGCUAAUUCUAAACAACCACGUUUUGGUUAAAAGAUUAUUAAUUUAGUUUGUCUAAUAAUUCGAUCCUGAAUUUGCUGAGCCGCAGUAGGAUCUCGCUCGUAUAUACAAAUCCUGAAGAAGAUCACUAUAAAUUUCUGAUCCAAUAAUGAAACUUUGAAGUCCAUAAGUAGGUUUAGGAGAAAUUUAAAGGCAGAUUCAGUUUUAAUAUUAAAUUAUAAAUAAUAUCAAUUAUACAGUAAUAUAUAACAUUAUUUACUGAUUAUUACACUUAUAUCAGUUGAAUUCUAGCCAUAAAUAAUGAAUGGUAUGGAUAGUAGUACUUAAAAAGAAUAAUCUCCAUAUAUAUAUAAAUGCAUGGAAUUUAAUAACUUUCACACCUAUGAAAUUAUCCCACCUAAAACAGAAAACCUUAGUAUUAAAUUGAGAAUAAUGCAGAAAUAUAAAUAUUUGAAAUAAUUACAAAUAAUGCAGAAAUACAAGGACCGCAGGAAAACAGAGGCCACACACUCUUGGCUGGAAUGAUUUUCCUAUUUUUGCAUGCUCACCCAUUACUCUACUCUAUCGCAUUAUUAUUGUUCAAAACUUCACAACUUAACAAAUAUACUUCCAACACAUCACAUGCGUGACCCAUUAAUUAUUACAUGUGAACGUAAAAUGAGAAGUGGUGACAACAGCAGUGAUGUCACACUUUCUGAUAUUACUACAAUUCUUGGAUGACUUACCUUAAUUCCUUUCUGGUGCAUGUUGCAGUAAUUUAUUAGAAAUACAUAAGACCUUUUUUUUCUUCCUAUCUCUUUGUUUCAUUGUAGAAUAGUCCGAGACAACGAUAAUAUCUUACACUUAAUUUGUCUGUAAAUAUAUAUACACUUGACUUUACAUGCUAUAGUAUUAUUAACUAGUCACCUAGACAGAUUUGAAGUAGAUAAUAUUUAUCGAUAAAUUACUUUCUAGAUUUCUAUUUUAUGGUUACAUACAUCAAAAUUUCUGCAAAACAAGUGGAGAAUAGCCUAAUUUGGGGAUUCAAAGAAACUUUGAUGGCUUCUUUUUCUACUCGAAAUUAUACUAAAAAUAAUUCAUAAACAUGAAUGAUCCAAGGGUGGAGAGCAAGACUCUUAGCCAGUUUGUCAAAAAUUUUAACUCGAUGGGACCCAAUAGAUCUAAUUGGUUCGUAAGAGAGCCAAAUGUAUUCAACUUCACUACAUAGUGUACUAAUCUAUAGUAAAGGACAGGUGCAGUAUGACAUGGGUGGUGACGACAUAGUCCCACCGUCCACCCAUGCAAUAUUAUAAAAGGCAGAGCAAAGCUUCAAGUUUUGCACCAUCAACUGAACCCCAAAUAUGUCUUCUAAAUACUUGCUAGUGUUGUUCCUCCUCGGAGCAUUAGUGCUUCUCUUCACAACCCCCUCAUAUGCUGAUCAUCAUGAGCCCCUUAGAAAUAAAGGAGAGAAACCACCUCCAAAACAUAAACCACCACAUGUUCAUCUUCUAGCUGAAAAUAUAGAAGAUUUUCAUGGACAUGCAAAAGGUAAAAGAGACAAGCCACCACCUAAACAUAAACCACCACAUGGACAUCUUUUAGCUGAGGAAGUAGAUGAUUAUUCUACAUCUCCGGGAUGGAAACUACAUAAUCCUCCAUCAGAGCAUAAACCACCGCAUAAGCCUCCACAUGAGCAAAAGCCACUAAAUAGACGUCUUUUACAAGUAGAUAUUGAGGAUGCACAUAAAGAAAAGGGAGAGAAGCCACCACAUGGACAUCUUUUGGCCGAGGAAGUUAUGGAGGACUCGCCUAAGAAAAAGGGAGAGAAGCCACCACCAAAGCACAAGCCACCACAUGGACAUCUUUUGGCCGAGGAAGAGGUCGAGGACUCACACAAAGGGAAGGGAGAGAAGCCACCACCAAAGCACAAGCCACCACAUGGACAUCUUUUGGCCGAGGAAGAAGUUGAGGACUCACACAAGGGAAAGGGAGAGAAGCCACCACCAAAACACAAGCCCCCGCAUGGACAUCUUUUAGCUGAAGAAAAAGUUGAGGACUCACACAAGGGAAAAGGAGAGAAGCCACCACCAAAACACAAGCCCCCGCAUGGACACCUUUUAGCUGAAGAAGAAGUUGAUGAUUCGCACAAGGGAGAGGGAGAAAAGCCACCACCAAAACACAAGCCACCUCACGGGCACUUAUUAGUUGAAGAGGUUGAAGACUCACACAAGGGGAAAGGAGAAAAACCACCGCCCAAGCACAAACCACCUCAUGGACACCUUUUAACUGAAGAGAUCAACGACUCUUACAAAGGAAAGGGAGAGAAGCCACCUCACAAGCCUCCCCACAAACCCCCAUCAGCCGACUAAGUACCUUAGGCUAAUUUCGCUAAAUGCUUAGAAAUAAGAAACAGAAGUCUACUCUUCUGUUGGUUUCUGUAUCUGCAUUUUCACUGAAUUAGUAUUUGUACUUUGGCUUGUAUUAUAUGAAUACUACCCUCUAGUUGGCUGUUUUAUGUAGAUUAUGGUUUUAUGUUCUAGUGCUGUGUGUAUUAUUUCAGUUGAUUUAACUUUUAUUUGCAAACUAUACAGCAAUACAUGCACUUACUCCUAGUACGUAGUUCUGCCACAUGCAUAUAUUUGGUGGUAGGAUAUUGCCAACGACAACAACGUUUAAUUACUUUAACUUAAAUCAAAUAUGAAAUGAUUCUCUUAAUUAAAACUAAAUUUUUUUUAUACCCUAAUUUAACCCUUAUUUAUUAAUUAUAUUUAUUAAAUCUCUUAUUAGUUAAAGUAUAUAUAAUAAAACUAGGUAAGAAUGUGUGAGAUUUCAAAUUUCUUCAUAUCUGUCACUGGUUAUUUCAUGUCUCUGUUUCUGCUUGCUGCCUAUGUUGCAACAUUCAUUUGGCUUCUUAUUCCUAGUCAAUUACUUAUUUGCCUCUCGAUUUUGACUAGGUCGAUAGUAAGCUUAAAGUUUAAUUUCAAACAGUUUCAUAUUUAAAGAAAAGUAGUAUUUUGAAGAAGCGGAAAUAAACACAAAAAAAAGAUAGUUGGUGCAAUGAGUAAAUCAUUUUCAAAUAUAAAAUUAUUAUUACAAGCAAAAUUGGAAUUAUUAGAAUGACAGUAUGCUCCAAAGAUAAGAGUAUAAUAUGAAUAGUACAAAAUUAGCCUUUUUCUUUAAACAAAAUAAUUCAGUAAACUGAUCAUAAGAACGUAAUAAAGAGUAAAAUUCUAUCCUACAUUUGUAUUUCAAAAGUAAAAAAUAUUAAUUUUUAAAUACAUUUGGUUCUCAGUGAUUGACAAGAUAAAAUCUUAUUUAACUUUCUCCUUAUAGAGUAGGAAUUCCAGAUACAUAUUAUCUUACCAAGGGUUUGAUAAUGACAUUUUAAUUACAGCACCACUAUAGACAAGUAGCCAUUGUUAAUGGAGGUUAUCAUUCCAAUUUCCCUCUUGUGAAGUUAUUAAUUUGUGGAGAUUAUAAAGGACUCCAAUCUUUAACCCUUCCAAUGAGUUAAAAAAAUAUAAAAUAUUUCUUAUCAAAUUGCACCAUCAACAACUCAUACGAAUGCCACCUUUAUGGCCGCAAAACAGAGUGCUUGAUAACCAAAUUUAAGAUAAAUCUCAAUUCGACGGUAAGUGCAUCACUUAGAUUUGUUACAUCCUAAUAAUAUAUACUAAAUUUAUAAAUAAUUAAUAUAUAUUUUAUUAAUUUAAAUAAUAAAAUAUAUAAAUUAUAUAUAUAUCAACUGCCAGUGGUACCUUUUUUAAACUAAAGGAAGCUAUUAGUGGAGACAAGCUUUAGAAGUGAACGCCACUCAUCUGCUAAACUACAAAAGAUGCCACCACACCUCUGACGUCAAAUGAUAUGCAUGUGCUCUAGUCACUGUUGAAACUAAGAAAUUAUUAACCGUGAGCCUAAUAUCCAAAGAACCUUUGGAUCCAAUCAAUUGAUUUUAGAUAAACUAUGGUGAAAAUAUAUCAUUUUUCGUUACUCUUCAGCUUUCCACCAAAUUCAGCCCCCCAAAAGUUCAAGAAAAAAAAUUAAUACCAAGGAUAAUAUAAAUUCCAAGAGUUUAGGCGAAUAAUUUUUUUUCUGAUCAGCAUUUUGCAAUUAGUUGAAAAUUGGAACUUGCCAGAAGCUGUGCAGCUCAAUUUUAUCAGGCACAUACGAAAACACACUUCCUAUUUCUCUGAAAGUUUGUCUUGCAGCAGUUUAAGAUGAACAAAAGCAAGUUGGUUUUCUGCUUGUAAUUUACAACUCAAUUAGAUUAUAGAAGAAAUUAAAACAGUAAUAUGUAAUUCUUUGGGGCAUAACCUUUAAUACUACUGAUAAGUAUAACGGAUACGUUCCUAAAUUAUAUUGUACUAAAUUUACAACCGCAAGGAGAUCCAAGUUGGAGAGUUAAUAAUCACACUAGGUUAGGAGAAAGAGCAAUAACUUGGCCAUAUUGUCAAAGUUUUCAACUAGUUGGAACCCGGUGGAUCUUCUUCUCUAAACCGGUGGAUCUUCUUCUCUAACAUGAAAUUUUAAACAGCCAACUUGACUGCAUAGGGUACUAGGUUAGUAAAGACAAGAAAGUAUGACAUGAACAAAAACCACUUAAUAGACGUCUUUUACAAGUAGAUAUUGAGGAUGCACAUAAAGGAAAGGGAGAGAAGCCACCGCAUGGACAUCUUUUGGCCGAGGAAGUUAUGGAGGACUCGUAUAAGAACAAGAGAGAGAAGCCACCACAUGGACAUCUUUUGGCCGAGGAAUAAGUGGAGGAUUCACGCAAAGGAAACGGAGAGAAACCACCACCAAAACACAAACCUCCACAUGGACAUCUUUUAGCUGAAGAAGAAGUUGAUAACACACACAAAGGAAAAGGAGAGAAGCCACCACCUUAUGCGCACUUUUUAGUUGAAGAGGUUGAAGACUCGCACAAGAGAAAGGGAGAAAAACCACCGCCAAAGCA